rnacentral:rRNA from 1 species
GCCGGUGAUAAUAGCGAAGAGGCCACACCCGAUCCCAUCCCGAACUCGGAAGUUAAGCUCUUUAGCGUCGAUGGUACUGCAUGGGUGACUAUGUGGGAGAGUAGAGAAUUGCCGGCU